CACCUUCGUAUUUCCGUUCGAUUUGUUUUUGACUUUCUUCCUCCUCCCGCUUGACGCCAUCUGCUGUAUUAACCGCGUGUUAAUCAAUUUGAAAUGCCCGUGCUUUUCUGUGUUUGUUCAGGUGUUGGGAGACUUAACACAAUCGAUGAUUUAAGAUUCGAUAAACUGACCUAAUUAUACAAUCUGCUCCUAUUUAUUCAACAAACUUAAACAACACGGCUGUUACCAAUGACCCAAUAUAUUCAGAUAUACAUUCAUUAUUCUAUACGAGUUCAACGUUACAUUCUGUAGUUUACUACUUUGUUUACUUAAAAUCUAAUUCUCUGGAGAUUAUAAUUACUUCUUGCCGGUAUUAUAUUUACUGCCAAAAUUCAAGUACAUAACACGAACAAAAAAAUCUUUACGAUCAGGUUUCAUAUAUUUCCGGGAUUAACAAAGCGUUUAUUAACACUUCUGAGCCAUGCCGAAGAUAUAUUAAAAGUAAUCAAAUCGUCGAUUUUUUAAUUGGGUCUUAUAGUCGCAGUAGUAUGAGACGCUGAAUUGUAGAAAUGGACAGCAAUAUAGACAGCAGCUGCUGCGUGUUACUGGUGGAUUUCGUAUUGGGGAGCAACUGGAACGGGCUGGGCGUAAGGAGCGGCGACGGGCACCUCAACGGCGAACUUUUCAACGUUGACUUUGGUCGGGUGUUGGACGGUCACCUGGGGCGUGAUUUCGGAGACGCUGCG